rnacentral:misc_RNA from 1 species
AUUUUUUAGUACAUAAUAACGUUUAUAUUUUAAAAAUUAUGUAUUUAUUAAGAUUUUUUUUAAAUACUUUAUGCAUCAUUUUAUUUUGGAACACAGAAUGUUAUUGCAUAUCAGCAUUACUUUUUAGAACGAAACCAUGAGAGCACUUCUGGAAAUGAAAAAAAAAUCUGAAGUCAAAUCCAAAGGAUUUCAUAAAUCUCCAUUUCGGAGUUGAAAACCCUGAAUUCCAGUAAUGCAGGAUACCUAUGGACUGGAUACCCAAACCAAAAUUCGUAAAUUAUAUGACUGAUCAUUAAUUACAAACGAAGAUGAUGGAUAUAAACUCAAUAUGGAAGACACUUGGCAGAAAAAUAAACGACGAUGUGCGUUUGAAUCCCGAUCGUUACUCUAUUAUCUAUGUUCAUAAUCCAAUAAUAGUACCCAGUGAUAGGUUUCAGGAAAUAUACUAUUGGGAAUCUUAUUGGAUAUUUGGAUUAUUAGGGGUCUAUUAACGUACGAAAUGAAAAACACUGUAAAAGGAAUUAUCAUCAUAUUUGUCUAUGAUCAAAACAUUCGGACAUAUCCCGAACGGAGGAUCUAUUACACAAAGAGAUCACAGCCUCCGUUAAUUGUGCCAGUGAUGCAUAGUUAUGUGGAGGCUAUGAAUGAUAAACAAUUCUUAGCAAAACACAUAGACCUCUUGGAAAUAGAAGUAACUUACUGGAUAACAAAUCAUAUUGUCGGUGUAGUAAAAUACAAGAAACCUUAUACCUUGCCCAAUACCAUAAUCAUACAGGGAAGUUAUCAUAAAAUUACAUGUAUUCGAGACAGAUAAUGAGAAAGAAGAUUUUUAUUUGGAACUCAAAGCGGACGCAUAAUCAGGAAAUGAUUAUUCCACACGGUAGUUCGUCCGUAAUGGUACAAAUCAAGUUCAGGUUCAUUUAACGAAUCAAAAACAAAAUUGCUAUUGGCAGUGCACAAAUCAGGUUUAUCAAGUGCUGAUGACAUUAUUGAUGGGAUGACAAAAAGAAAAAGUAAAUGUCCUUAUAGAGGUCAACGAUUUUCUCCCACUACAAUUAUCAAAUCAAAAAAAACUGAGUCAGCAAUUCAAAACAAAUAAAAAUAUCUUCUGGUAGCUGUCCCCUCAUUAUCACAACGCUUUUCAAACAGUUAAUUCAAAUAAAGAAACAAAUAUUUUUAAACCAUCUUAUGAUUCAGACAAAGAUUUUCUAUAGAAAAUUGAUAAAAGUCAAAAGAACUGUUAUUGAUGGUAUUAAUUGUAUAACACCUGAAAAACAUGCCUCUUUAUUAGUUGAACAUAUUGACAAUAUAUAACAUAAUUUUAUCUUCUGUUGGAACGUGGACAAUUCAAAAAGACAAGGAUAUUCAAUUAUUAUACUAAAUAAGUUCUGAUUGCAAUGGCAUUAAAGUUAAAAAAGUAUUAUAUUGUGAUCAAAAUAUUGAAAACUCAGGAUCUGGUACUACAGCUGAUAUUUUAAAACUGCCUCAAGAUAAUAAUAUAUUACAAAAACAGUCAAAUAUAUCUGAUGGUAUGUGUAUUAUUUAGUAAU